rfam:Leersia perrieri chromosome 1, whole genome shotgun sequence.
GGAUGAUAUGAUGAUUGAAUUGUUUCCCUAUUGGUUUGAUUGACCGUCAUGAUGGUCUCAAAUGUAUUAGCUCUAUCUGAUCAUCU